rnacentral:ncRNA from 1 species
AACUAAUGUUCAUAGGGUGAAGCCAGAGGAAGCUCGGGUGGAAGCUCGUAGCGACUCUGACAUGCAAAUAGAUCGUCAAAUUUGGGUAUAGGGGCGAAAGACUAAUCGA